GAGUUUGAUCGUGGCUCAGGAUGAACGCUAGCGGCAGGCCUAAUACAUGCAAGACGAGCGGUAAGAGGAGUAGCAAUACUUUUCCUAGAGCGUCGUAAGGGUGCGUAACGAGUAUGCAAUCUGCCCUCAACAGGAGAAUAGCUCCCCGAAAGGGGAAUUAACACUCCGUAAUGUUUAUGAGUGGCAUCACUUAUAAAUUAAAACUCCGGUGGUUGAGGAUGAGCAUGCUUCUGAUUAGCUAGUUGGUAGUGUAACGGACUACCAAGGCGAUGAUCAGUAGGGGAACUGAGAGGUUGAUCCCCCACACUGGCACUGAGAUACGGGCCAGACUCCUACGGGAGGCAGCAGUAGGGAAUAUUGGUCAAUGGUUGCAAGACUGAACCAGCCAUGCCGCGUGC
rnacentral:rRNA from 1 species